GCAGCAGUGGGGAAUAUUGCACAAUGGGCGAAAGCCUGAUGCAGCGACGCCGCGUGAGGGAUGACGGCCUUCGGGUUGUAAACCUCUUUCAGCAGGGAAGAAGCGAAAGUGACGGUACCUGCAGAAGAAGCGCCGGCUAACUACGUGCCAGCAGCCGCGGUAAUACGUAGGGNGCAAGCGUUGUCCGGAAUUAUUGGGCGUAAAGAGCUCGUAGGCGGUUUGUCACGUCGGAUGUGAAAACCCGGGGCUUAACCCCGGGUCUGCAUUCGAUACGGGCAAGCUAGAGUGUGGUAGGGGAGAUCGGAAUUCCUGGUGUAGCGGUGAAAUGCGCAGAUAUCAGGAGGAACACCGGUGGCGAAGGCGGAUCUCUGGGCCAUUCCUGACGCUGAGGAGCGAAAGCGUGGGGAGCGAACAGGAUUAGAUACCCUGGUAGUCCACGCCGUAAACGUUGGGCACUAGGUG
rnacentral:rRNA from 1 species